UUAUGUAUGAAUGUAUAAAUAAUGCCUUGAAUGCCUUGAAUGCUUAUCGUGUUUCACUAACCCUUUUGUUGAGUUUUUGUGAAGGCUCACAUGACUUUUGCAGGGAUAGCUCGCUGGAUGUUUCACUUGGCUUGUGGGAUACCAUUUGGGAGAUUUGUUCUGAUUGCCUCGUUGACACGUUUACUUUAUACAUGUUUGUUU
rnacentral:lncRNA from 1 species